rnacentral:rRNA from 1 species
CUAAGAAUAUUCCGCAAUGGAUGAAAGUCUGACGGAGCGACGCCGCGUGGAUGAAGAAGGCCGAAAGGUUGUAAAAUCCUUUUGCUGAGGAAGAAUAAGUGUGGGAGGGAAUGCCCGCACGAUGACAUGAAUCGGCGAAUAAGCCCCGGCCAACUACGUGCCAGCAGCCGCGGUAACACGUAGGGGGCGAGCGUUGUUCGGAAUUAUUGGGCGUAAAGAGCUCGUAGGCGGUUUGUCGCGUCUGCUGUGAAAUCCCGAGGCUCAACCUCGGGUCUGCAGUGGGUACGGGCAGACUAGAGUGCGGUAGGGGAGAUUGGAAUUCCUGGUGUAGCGGUGGAAUGCGCAGAUAUCAGGAGGAACACCGAUGGCGAAGGCAGAUCUCUGGGCCGUAACUGACGCUGAGGAGCGAAAGGGUGGGGAGCAAACA